CCUAGAAUUUGAGAUAUCUAUAUAAAGAACCCCAAUUUCUACCAAAUGACAUAGACACAAAUCAACAUACAUACAUGUGAUUUUCAGGAAGAACCUUCUUUGGUUUUAUAUUGCCUAACGACUAUACUUAGGGUUCGAUUUGCUCACUACCCUUCUUAGUUAAAAUAUUUGUUUGUAUUUGGUGAGAACCUUUGUGUUUUCAUCGUGGUUUGUGGCUAUGAGGUGUGGAGAAAAAGAAGGUGCCCCAAAUGCUCCAUUCUCAACCUAGGCUACCACUAGUAAAGGCAUAUCUCCUCUUGUGAUGCCUCGUACUCCUGUGCCUUGGUGUAAUUGCUGAUCUAUAUGCUUGUUCCACUCUAGUAAUAUUCUUCACAUUCCUGUUAUCCGUGUUACUCUUCAUUUUACCCGUAUGUAACUCGUAGAUAUGGAAUUUUUGAUUUAUCACUGUUAAUGGUUUUCUUGUGUUCCACAUCCAUGUCCAUGAAAUUUUGAUAAUUGACUGGUCCAUUAUCAAGUGCUAUAUUUUCUAAUGCAUUUGCUAAUUUGUUCCUUUCCCUUAGUAUAUGUGUGAAUUUGUGUUGAAUGCCUUCAUAUAGACCCUUAAUUUCCUCAAUAAUCUCUGUUAUGUGCCAUGGUGGUUUCCAUUCAUCUGUCAAAAUCCUUUACACUAAGAGAGAGUCAGUUUGAAAUAUUACUCUAUCCAUAUUCUUGCUUUUACACCAUUUGCUUGAUUCCAAUAUUGCCAUUCCUUCUUUUUCACAAUUCCCAUAUAAUAGUUGGUAUAGCUUGAAAUACUGGUUUGAGCCUAUCAUUAAUAUGUUGUCUUCACCAUUUCACUAUAAUCUGUCGUAAUUAUAAUCCCUCAAUGUUUAUAUCUACAAAAGAAGAAAAAUAGGACCAAGUCCUGUUAGCAGAAAAAGACUUAGGAAAUAGAUGUUGAGCUGUCUCCUCCAUUGGGCCCGGACAACACCAACAUCUAGAAGCUAAGUUGAUAAUCAUCCUUUUUAACACUUCAUCAAUAGCCACCUUAAACUUCCAACCCCUCCACAUAAAGAAAGAUAUCUCAAAUGGUAGUCCCUUAAUCUAUAUAUACUUGAACACCUCAUUCUUUUGCCCUCUCAAUCUCAAAUAAUCCCAAACUGACUUGACUGAGAACUUGCCCUUGUUAUUCAAAAUGCACCUAUGUUCAUCUUCUGCUUCAUCAUCUCUAGGUGGUUUAAUUGUGUCCACUAUGUGUUGAACUAUUUCCCUAGAUAAAAUUGUUUCUAGCUUGUCAACAUCCCAUCUUCCCUCCUUUACCAUCUCACUUACAUUCUGAAUUGUGUCAUCAUAUACUUCCCCUCCUUUUGCAUAAUACAAAGCCCCCAGACCAAUCCAAUUAUCAUAACAAAAAAGAGUAUUCCCACUCUUUAUUUGCCACGAAAUAUGAUAUUCUAUGAUGUCCCUUUCCUGCAACAUUUUCUUCCAGCUCUGGGACCCAUAUUUCCAUUGCGCCACUACUGGAUUAACCUUCUUACAAUAUUUAUUAUAGAUGAACACACUCUAUAAAAAAGGACUAGUCCUGAAAUUCCACCAGAUGUUACAAUAAAGUGCCAUUAGUACAUCAUGCAGAGAUCUAAAUCCUAGACCCCCUUCUUUCUCUCGUACACAUAAAUUAGUCCAUGCUGCCCAAUGUCUGCUUCUUCCCCCUAUUGUAUUACUCCAAAAAAAACUGAGCAAACAUCCUAUGCAUUUGCCUUAUCACCCCAUCCGGUGGGUUUAAGGCUGAUAAUAACUGGAUGGGCAUCCCCUAUAACACAUGUUUAAUCAAUACUGCUUUUCCUCCAAAGGAUAACAUCUUACCUUUCCAUGAUUGCAACCUGUUCAUGAUCUCUGAGUAUAGGACUAUAGAAAUCCUUCAUCCUUUACUAUUGAAUAUGGGAAAUCCCAAAUAUGUAAAGGGGAAAUCCUUUCUUGUUAUACCAGUCACCACUUCUACAGUCACCUAUAUAUCCUUUGUUAUUGAGUGAUGCAAGUAAAUUGCACUUUUCUCCUUAUUUACCUUCUGCCCUGAUGUAUUCUUAUAGUCCCCAAGUAUUUCCAUAAUCAACUGAAGUGAGAACACAUCUGCAAAUGUAAAAAAUAAUCACAUCAUAUGCAUAAUAUGCCAAGUGAUUCACCAUAGGACUCUACUUUGGCGUUCCAAAUCUCUUAAAUUGUGGUACAUUGUACAAUUGACUCAAGUUCGUAGUCAAUACAUCUGUUGUCAAUAUGAAUAGAGUAGGAGAUAGAGGAUCACUGUAACGACCCCCUAGGUCGUUAUGGGGGAUUUUCCUUGCUAGUACCUUCCCGAGAAUAGAAAUGAGCUUAAUGGGAACUCAAAAAGUUAGAAGUCUAAAAACUGAAACUUGUGUUAGUUGUGGUUGUGCAUUUUCUGAAAAUUAUCUUCAUUUCCGUUGGGGGGUGACUUAGUAAAUUAGAGCUCCGUUGGGAAUUUUGAGGCCACGGGUAAGUCCAUAGCUUGUUUUUAUGUAUAUGUGCAUGUUUGGAUUGCUUCUGUAGGGCCUCGGAUUGGUGUUGGAAUUUUUGGGUGAAAAACUAGUGGAAAAACCCGAGCUACUGUUAAAUAUGGACCACUACAACGGUUGUGGUACUGCUGUAGCGAGUAGGUGGUCGCCACCGCGAGAGCAGGAAAAGUUAAUGAGGUCUGUCAUAGCGGGACCUCCGGAGCGAAAAUUUGACUGCUGCAGUGGUCGACGGGGGGCUGAAUCAGCGUUUUAUAUUCUUUAUUUCGAACUCAUUCCCCACAUAACUCCAAAACAGUUCCCAAGAACACUUGUGGCGAUUCUCUAAGGCUAGGGCUAAAAUACUCCUGAAAGGUAAGAGGGUAAGAAGGCGAGGCUCCCAGCGUUCGCGCUUAGCUGGGGGGAAGAGGUGUGGGCAAGUGGGCCUCUUCAUAGGGACAUUGAAAGUGCAGAAUCAAACACUUUCACAUUCUCUGGAACAAUUCUGGGCAUUUUCUCUAUUGGGUUGACCUACGAUAGGCCUGUAUAUCCUUAUUUGCAUAUCUGGACCUCCUUGAUUAUCCUUUUCUGCUUCUGUUAGUCGUUAUUAUACCUGGGCUUGGCCCAAAUAAAAUGUAAUUCAUUUUUGGGCUUUGUAAUAAUUUAAUUAGUUUAAAUUCAAUGUACUUAGUUUAUUUGUGAAUGUAUUCUAAUAUUGUGCAUACCCAUUUGUAUCCUUGUCCAUCCAAACCCGUUGGUGGGUCCCAAUGGGGCCCACUAGCGAGAUCGAGUGUA